CAGCAGUGGGGAAUAUUGCACAAUGGGGGGAACCCUGAUGCAGCCAUGCCGCGUGAAUGAAGAAGGCCUUCGGGUUGUAAAGUUCUUUCGGUGAUGAGGAAGGUGUUUGUUUUAAUAGGACAAGCAAUUGACGUUAGUCACAGAAGAAGCACCGGCUAACUCCGUGCCAGCAGCCGCGGUAAUACGGAGGGUGCGAGCGUUAAUCGGAAUAACUGGGCGUAAAGGGCACGCAGGCGGUGACUUAAGUGAGAUGUGAAAGCCCCGAGCUUAACUUGGGAAUUGCAUUUCAUACUGGGUCGCUAGAGUACUUUAGGGAGGGGUAGAAUUCCACGUGUAGCGGUGAAAUGCGUAGAGAUGUGGAGGAAUACCGAAGGCGAAGGCAGCCCCUUGGGAAUGUACUGACGCUCAUGUGCGAAAGCGUGGGGAGCAAACAGGAUUAGA
rnacentral:rRNA from 1 species